rnacentral:rRNA from 1 species
ACUACGUGCCAGCAGCCGCGGUAAUACGUAGGACACGAGCGUUAUCCGGAUUUACUGGGCGUAAAGCGUCUGUAGGCGGUGCGGUAAGUUGGCUGUGAAAGCCCCAGGCUUAACCUGGGGAGGCCAGUCGAGACUGCCGGACUUGAGGGCGAGAGAGGGGAGUGGAAUUCCCGGAGUAGCGGUAAAAUGCGCAGAUAUCGGGAGGAACACCAGUGGCGAAGGCGGCUCCCUGGUUCGCACCUGACGCUGAGAGACGAAAGCUAGGGUAGCAAACAGGAUUAGAGACCCUGGUAGUCCUAGCUGUAAACGCUGGAUGCUAGGUGUGGGAUCGAGAGAUUCCGUGCCGCAGCUAACGCAAUAAGCAUCCCGCCUGGGGAGUACGGCCGCAAGGCUAAAACUCAAACGAAUUGACGGGGACCCGCACAAGCAGCGGAGCGUGUGGUUUAAUUCGAUGCUACACGAAGAACCUUACCUGGGUUUGACAUGUGGGUGGUAGUGAGGUGAAAGCCGAGCGACCCUUCGGGGAGCCUACACAGGUGCUGCAUGGCUGUCGUCAGCUCGUGCCGUGAGGUGUCGGGUUAAGUCCCGUAACGAGCGCAACCCUUACCCUUAGUUACAAGUGUCUAAGGGGACUGCCGGCGAGAAGCUGGAGGAAGGUGGGGAUGACGUCAAGUCAGCAUGGCCCUUAUAUCCAGGGCUACACACACGCUACAAUGGUCGGUACAAAGGGCAGCCAAGCCGCGAGGUGGAGCGAAUCCCAACAAAGCCGGUCGUAGUUCGGAUUGCAGGCUGCAACUCGCCUGCAUGAAGUUGGAGUUGCUAGUAACCGUGCGUCAGCUAUAGCGCGGUGAAUACGUUCCCGGGUCUUGUACACACCGCCCGUCACGUCAUGGGAGUUGGCAACGCCU